UUGACCUCGGAUCAGGUAGGAAUACCCGCUGAACUUAAGCAUAUCAUU
rnacentral:rRNA from 1 species